ACUCCUGUGGUGCAAUGGGUUAGUGUGCCUGACUGUUAGCCAGAAGGUUGGUGGUUCGAGUCCACCCAGGGAUG